GCGCAGCAGUCGAGAAUAGUCUACAAUGGACGAAAGUCUGAUAGUGCGACGCCGUGUGUGCGAUUAAUUCCUUCGGGAUGUAAAGCACUUUUCUAUGAGAUAAAAGCUCUUUAGGUUAAUAGCUUAUUGAGACGGAUAUUAUUAUAGGAAUAAGCUCCGGCUAACUCCGUGCCAGCAGCCGCGGUAAUACGGAAGGAGCGAGCGUUGUCCGGAUUUACUAGGCGUAAAGGGCUAGUAGGCGACUAAUUAAGUUAUAUGUUAAAUCCCACGGCUCAACUGUGGUCCUGCAUGUAAUACUGGUUAGAUAGAGUACUGUAGAGGAAGGCAGAAUUCCUGGAGUAGCGGUGGAAUGCGCAGAUAUCAGGAAGAAUACCAAAAGCGAAGGCAGCCUUCUGGGCAGUUACUGACGCUGAAUAGCGAAGGUGUGGGUAGCGAACAGGAUUAGAUACCCCGGUAGU
rnacentral:rRNA from 1 species